UCUAACCCACGACUAAGAAACCCUUAAAAGCAUAACCCCACAAAUAAACCACUGAAUACACAACCCACAAACAAUCCCACGGAGAUCGGUUUCCCAAAACCGAUUACCGAACAUACCGGAAAUCCCGAAAACCACACCGGGACGCCGUCGGGACCCACUAAGUGUCCCGAAACUCACCGACUCGUGUCACGAGUCACCUGCUGCCCCAAAGCACUCCAAUUUGGGUGUUUUGGUAGCAAACACAAGAUAACACCCCUACACGAUUAUCGCCGGAUAAUUGUACGAAUCCGGGUUUCCGAAUGUGUUUAUUUCGACACCGGAACCCACCGUCGCUCACCCAUCAUCACCGAACCCACAAAGUGAUGAUGGUGACCAGCCAACAAGGCUCAGCGACAAAACACGAAGCAACCAAACACUGUCGGAAAGAAUCCGAACCGAAACCGCGUUCUUUCGGCGAAUUUCGCCGAAAAACGCACCGAAAUCGACCUACCGAUUUCCGCGAAA
rnacentral:lncRNA from 1 species